GGAGAAACUCUCUCCGACUUCCUCUCUCGUCACCAAAACACCGCUUUCUCCAUGAACUUCGGCGAUUCCGCCGUCUUAGCUUACGCUCGCCAAGAAACCUCUCUCCGUCAGAGGUAUAUAUAAAAACCACAAAUCAAAUCUCUAAAUCCAACUUAUUGAUUCACAGAUUCAUAAAUCUAAUGGUUUUGUUUUUUCUCAGGUUGUUCUGUGGACUAGAUGGGAUCUACUGUAUGUUUCUAGGGAGAUUGAGCAACCUCUGUACAUUGAAUCGACAAUACGGUUUAUCUGGGCAGAACUCAAACGAGGCAAUGUUUGUGAUCGAAGCUUAUCGAACACUUCGUGAUCGUGGUCCUUAUCCAG
rnacentral:lncRNA from 1 species